AGGAGGUUUUGAUCCUGGCUCAGGAUGAACGCUAGCGGCAGGCUCAAUACAUGCAAGUCGAGGGGCAGCGGGGUGUAGCAAUACACUGCCGGCGACCGGCAAACGGGUGCGGAACACGUACGCAACUUACCCAAAACUGGGGCAUAGCCCGGGGAAACCCGGAUUAACUCCCCAUAAGAUCAUGGUGUGGCAUCACACAGUGAUUAAAUCUCUGGAGGUUUUGGAUGGGCGUGCGGCCCAUUAGGUAGUUGGUGAGGGUAACGGCCCACCAAGCCUGCGAUGGGUAACUGGUGUGAGAGCACGACCAGUCACACGGGCACUGAGACACGGGCCCGACUCCUACGGGAGGCAGCAGUAAGGAAUAUUGGUCAAUGGAGGCAACUCUGAACCAGCCAUGCCGCGUGGAGGAUGAAGGCCCUCUGGGUUGUAAACUUCUUUUACAGGGGACGAAACCCCGCUAUUCUUAGCGGAUUGACGGUACCCUGGGAAUAAGCACCGGCUAACUCCGUGCCAGCAGCCGCGGUAAUACCGGAGGGUGCAAGCGUUAUCCGGAUUCACUGGGUUUAAAGGGUGCGUAGGCCGGGUGUGUAAGUCAGUGGGUGAAAUUCCCGAAGCUU
rnacentral:rRNA from 1 species